GUGAGGAAUAUUGGUCAAUGGGCGAGAGCCUGAACCAGCCAAGUAGCGUGAAGGAUGACUGCCCUAUGGGUUGUAAACUUCUUUUAUAAAGGAAUAAAGUCGGGUAUGUAUACCCGUUUGCAUGUACUUUAUGAAUAAGGAUCGGCUAACUCCGUGCCAGCAGCCGCGGUAAUACGGAGGAUCCGAGCGUUAUCCGGAUUUAUUGGGUUUAAAGGGAGCGUAGAUGGAUGUUUAAGUCAGUUGUGAAAGUUUGCGGCUCAACCGUAAAAUUGCAGUUGAUACUGGAUAUCUUGAGUGCAGUUGAGGCAGGCGGAAUUCGUGGUGUAGCGGUGAAAUGCUUAGAUAUCACGAAGAACUCCGAUUGCGAAGGCAGCCUGCUAAGCUGCAACUGACAUUGAGGCUCGAAAGUGUGGGUAUCAAACAGGAUUAGAAACCCUAGUAGUCC
rnacentral:rRNA from 1 species